CAGGCCUAACACAUGCAAGUCGAACGGCAGCACGGGGGCAACCCUGGUGGCGAGUGGCGAACGGGUGAGUAAUAUAUCGGAACGUACCUAGUAGUGGGGGGUAGCUCGGCGAAAGCCGGAUUAAUACCGCAUACGACCUACGGGUGAAAGCGGGGGAUCGAAAGACCUCGUGCUAUUAGAAUGGCCGAUAUCUGAUUAGCUAGUUGGUAGGGUAAAAGCCUACCAAGGCAACGAUCAGUAGCUGGUCUGAGAGGACGACCAGCCACACUGGGACUGAGACACGGCCCAGACUCCUACGGGAGGCAGCAGUGGGGAAUUUUGGACAAUGGGGGAAACCCUGAUCCAGCCAUGCCGCGUGUGUGAAGAAGGCCUUCGGGUUGUAAAGCACUUUUGUUCGGAGCGAAACGGUAGCGACUAAUAUUUGCUACUAAUGACGGUACCGAAAGAAUAAGCACCGGCUAACUACGUGCCAGCAGCCGCGGUAAU
rnacentral:rRNA from 1 species